AACGUAGGUACCGAGCGUUAUCCGGAUUUACUGGGCGUAAAGCGCGUUCAGGCGGUUUGGCAAGUCGGGCAUGAAAUCUCUCGGCUCAACCGGGAGAGGUUGUCCGAUACUGCUGGACUUGAGGGCAGUAGAGGGUGGUGGAAUUCCGGGUGUAGCGGUGAAAUGCGCAGAUAUCGGGAGGAACACCAGUGGCGAAGGCGACUACCUGGCCUGUUCUUGACGCUGAGGCGCGAAAGCUGGGGAGCAAACGGG
rnacentral:rRNA from 1 species